GCCGCUCUAGUAUAGUGGUUAUUACUUCUCGUUGUGGCCGAGAGAAACCCUGGUUCGAUUCCAGGGGGCGGCA